ACUUCCCGCCGUCCUCCCCGUUUCCUCCCAGCAGUCCUGGGGUCUGUCCAGUCAGUCAUCUUCGGCUGCUUUCGUCCCGGAGUAAGUGGAGGCCUCGCCCUUCCGGUUGUCCCCUGGUUUCCGUCCUUCUCGAGCCCUCUGCUUUGGGAGACCCCUUCCCCGGUGGUCGGGGCCGAGGUCCCUUAACCCAAGGCCGGCUGCCCGCAGAAUGAGGGCUCUUCUUGCUUUGGCCUCGAUUUAAAGAGAAGCUGCCUGGCCUUAUGUCUCCCUGGGGCGGCUCCUUGCAAACCUUCACUCGUGAAGCACACUGUUACUCGGCACAUCAUGCGGAGCAGGAGGAAUUAGAAGCUCGCCGUCCAGUGGCAGCACGGAGUCUUAACCCCUGGACCACCAGAGAAGUCCAGAAUCCUGUUUUCAUAAUCUGUCAAAACGGAGCGAAAUACCCACCUUUCAGGAUCAUUGUGGGACCCUGUGGAAAACACCCCCGUCUAGUGAACACCCAGUCUUUGUCUCCAUCCACUUGAAUGUGAACUUCACGGGGGCCGUGGCUAGUCCUUACGUUUGCCGCUGUAUCUCCAGGGCCUAGAUGGUGUCCAUGAGACUGCCACAGUCCUCAAAGAAACUGGAUGUUCUGCGUGCAUAUACUCCCCAUACGGUAGAUGAAGACCAGGAGAUCACAGAGAUGAAGCGUCAAGCCCAGGCAGGCGAGGACUCAGGAACCUGUGUGCCGACUCAGCUGAGGGCAGCAGUGAAGCCUCUUUGCUCUGAGGUGAGGAAGAGGCACCAGAGGAGGAUUCUGGCCCCAGGACCAGCUCUGUCACUGACCUGAUGGGUGACUUGAGGUCACUUCAGCCCGCGGGCCUCAGUUUCCACAUCAUUCAAAUGGGGCCGAGCCUCACCUGCAGGGAUCAGCGGGUUCUAUGUUGAAGAGCACACGUGGCGCCCCCAGCGCCCUUGCUGCUUGCUGUGUGGAGCCGCGGAGCCACAGGGUGGCCUGGGGAGUGAGAAAGCUGGGGGGCUGGAGGGCCCUCUGCCCCUCCAUCCACCUGGGUUCUUUGAUUCCUGGGGUGUGAGGGUUUUUGUUUGUUUUUUUUUGAUGUGGACCGUUUUUAAAGUCGUUAUUGAAU